GCCUGGGUGGCUCAGUUGGUUGAGCGUCUGACUUCGGCUCAGGUCAUGAUCUUGCAAUUUGUGGGUUCGAGCCCCGCAUCUGGUU
rnacentral:tRNA from 1 species